CUGAUCAGAGUCGGUAGAUUAACUACCGACUCUGCCCUGAUCAAGCAUCAUAUGUACAGUACAAUUGCUAUUUCAUUGAAUGAUAAAAAUAAAAUACAGUAUAAAUAAUUGUUUAUUAAUAAAUAUACCAAUGUCCUAUCAUUCGGUCUUGGUCGAUAGUAAUACAGUAUUAGAAAUAAAAUUAUUAAAAUGGACGUAACAUCUUUUAAAAUAUCAUUAAAAAGAUUUUCCCUGGUUGUUACGAGACUGGCAACCCUCCUUCAGCUGGAACGAUUAUUAGUCACAUGGGUUGGGUGAUAACUCUACAUGUUCGAAGUUAUCUGGAUAGAAGAACCGAUUUAGCAGUUUUAUUGCAUUAGAUCAAAUUUCAAGCAGGAAAAUGAGUUUAC